GACUCUUGUCGUCUCACCUCGGUCUUCUGCUCAGCUCUCUCCUCGGUCCUCUUGUCUCGAAAUUCACGGCUGACUGAACUGAGUCUGAACUUCAACAACAACCUGGGAGAUUCAGGGGCUCAUCAGCUGAGUGAGGGGCUCAGGAGUGACAACUGUAAAUUAGAGAAACUGUGGUUGGUCUCUUGUGGUCUCACCUCGGCCUGCUGCUCAGCUCUCUCCUCGGUCCUCUCAUCUCCAAACUCACGGCUGACAUAUCUGGACCUGGACAACAACAACCUGGGAGAUUCAGGGGCUCGUCAGCUGAGUGAGGGGCUCAGGAGUGACAACUGUAAAUUAACAGACCUGAGGCUGUCUGAUAACUGGAUCAGUGAGAGUGAGAAGGAGAACCUGAGGUCAGUAGAGGAGGAGCUGAGGAGGUCUGGACGGCAGGUGGAUAUCGAUACAUGGGAAUUCUAGCUCUGGUGAUCAAACUGACCCCCUGUCAGUGACGGAGCCCCCCGUCCACUCACCCCUAAAUUCUCCUCUUUUUUCUUUUUAUUCUCCUCUCAGCUCUGCUCCUCAUUUAAUAAACUCUCCGUGUCCCCUCA